GGGGAAUAUUGGACAAUGGGGGCAACCCUGAUCCAGCCAUGCCGCGUGAGUGAAGAAGGCCUUCGGGUUGUAAAGCUCUUUUGGCGGGGACGAUGAUGACGGUACCCGCAGAAUAAGCCCCGGCUAACUUCGUGCCAGCAGCCGCGGUAAGACGAAGGGGGCUAGCGUUGUUCGGAAUUACUGGGCGUAAAGGGCGCGUAGGCGGUUUGUUAAGUCAGGCGUGAAAGCCCUGGGCUCAACCUGGGAGGUGCGCUUGAUACUGGCAAGCUUGAGUGCAGGAGAGGAUGGUGGAAUUCCCAGUGUAGAGGUGAAAUUCGUAGAUAUUGGGAAGAACACCGGUGGCGAAGGCGGCCAUCUGGACUGCAACUGACGCUGAGGCGCGAAAGCGUGGGGAGCAAAC
rnacentral:rRNA from 1 species